rnacentral:lncRNA from 1 species
GUCGUAAUAAACAGAUAACAAAUAAACAAAUAACAAAUAAAUGAAUGUUAAAAAACAAAUAUUGGGGAGUCCAGUCUAGUAUAUAGUCCAUCCAAUACAGUCCAGUCCAAAAGUCCAGUCCAGUCCAGUCCAACAGUCCAGUCCAGUCUAGGCAAUACACUUUGCCACACCUGAAUCACGAUAUCAUGCCAAGACUUCGAGGUAAACAGAGAUACAGGUGAAAAAUACAUGAUGUGUAAAAAUGAACUAAUUUUUUCAUCCAUCUAACAAGCAUCAUCUAUUAGUUUAAUGACGGCAC